rnacentral:lncRNA from 1 species
CUGAAUCCAUCUGAUGUGGAUUUAGGUGGUUAGUUAACUAACAAGGGGACAAUCUACUAACUUGCAUGUAUUGACAUCAAUUGCCUUCUAACAUGGACAACCUUUGGUUGAAGCUAACAUAGAGGUAGUAACUAAUAGAGUACGAACACGUACCAUCAACAUAGUUGUUGUGACAAACAAACUAACAAAUAAUGACUCCAGAAAUAAGAAUUAUACAACAGAACAAUGGUAAUCCCAGUAAACCGUAAACAAAAAAAAUUUCAUCCAUGUGGACAGUAAAGUGUGCAACAAUUUGUGAAUCAUACUACCUUGGCUGCUGUUGAUCUUGGAACCGAACACGCAGACCCCGAGAUGAUACGGAAAUCUGAAGGCGACAUUGAAGGAAAAUUGAUUUAGUACGUCGUGCAUAACCGUAACGAUGAACGCAAGUUACUGGCUCCGGAUCGAGGCGAGCAACAACAUACCUGGGAAGAUGCCGACGCGACGAGGGGGUACCAGAGGAAGACGGAGCGGCGUCGCCGGUGUGAGUGAGGCAACCCUAGCGACAGUAAACGGUCAAGUCUCCACCGCGGCGGAGGUGGCGAAUGAGAGGGGCCGAAUGGAGGAGAGAGCACACGUACCUCCGAACAACGGGGGAAGAGGUUCCUUGGCGACGGGUCUCAGUCGUCGACGUCGGUGCACGAACCCUAGCGAAGACGGCAAUGAGACGCGGCUGUGGGAGGAGAACAAACGGUCUCGAAGGACGAGUUCGCCGAGGAGUCGCCCGUACCUGUGAAGACGACAAACUGCGGGGAGGAGAUGGACCGGCG